ACUAUUCCUAUUUUUUGUAAUGUUGUUAAUUCUUCUUUCUCGUAACACCUAUUGAAAACUUCUACAGCUAGUUCUUUUAUAUUAUCCCAGAAUGUGCGAUAGAAUUCAACACUUAGACCAUCUAUACCUGGUGAUUUGUUUAGUUUCAUAUUAAAAAUGGCUUCUGUGCAUUCUUCUAUUGAGAUGCUGCCGCCUAGAGAGCUUUUCUCGUCAUCACUUAAUUUAUGAUCUAUUUUUGUUUCUUCAACAUAUUGCUUAAUAUUAUUAACAUCUGGAUUUGUACUUUUAUAUAAAUUUUCAUAGUAACAUUUUUCUAAAUUUAAAAUUUCUGAUGGUUCUGUUAUAAUUUUGUCUUGCUUAUCUUUCAAUGCCGAAAUAUUUUUUUUUGUUUGUCUUGAUUUUUCUAAACCUAAAAAGAAUUUUGUGUUUUUUUUCCCCUUCUUCUAACCAUUUGACUCGAGAUCUUACUUGUGCACCUUUAACUUCAUCUUUAUAAAGAUUUUCUAGAUUUUUUUCAAUUUUUUCUAUUUCAUCUUUAGUUUCUUUUGAAGGAUUAAUUUUAUUAUUUAAUCUUUGUAAGUUCAUUUCUAAUUCUUUUAUUUUAUUUUUCUUUUCAGAUGACUUGUAUUUACAAUACAUAACAGUUAUGUCCCUUACUUCAGAUUUGAAGAUAUCCCAUAUAUCUCUUGAAUCUCUGGUAAGUGCCUUUUCUUUAUAUUUUAGAAUAAGAUUGUUUAUAUGGUUUUUAUAAUUAUCAUCUAUUAAAAUACUAUUAUUUAUUUUAAAGAAACCUCUUCCUCUGCCAUGGUGAUUUUGUCUUAUUUUUAACGAAAUGGCUUGGUGAUCAGUGUAUGAUAUCAUAGCAGGUCUUAUAUCAGAAUUGAUUACAUGUGGCCUUAUAUCUGGACUGAUCAAAAAGAAAUCUAUUCUGCUUGUUAUAUUCGUAUUGUUUUUCCUUCUCCAUGUAAAUUGAAUUUUGUUUGGAUUUAUUUCCCUCCAUAUAUCUAUUAAUUUGUGUUUUUUAAUGAGCUGUUUAAGGCUAUUUACUGGUUUAUAGUAUUUAUGAGAGCUAUUUGAUUUCCUAUCUAUUUUUAAUAGGGUUUCAUUCAUGUCCCCUCCUAAAAUUAAAAUACCUAAUCGAUUAUUUUCUAUGAUGUUAUUUACCUUUUUGAAAAAUUUAUUUCUGUUAGUAUGAAUGUUUGGGGCAUAUACAUUUAUUAAGGUAAAAAUGUUAUCGUUAACUUCAAUGUUGAGCAAAAUAAUUCUGCCAUCAUUAUCUUUAACUUCAUUU
rnacentral:lncRNA from 1 species